UCGGGAAUUUUGGGCAAUGGGGGAAACCCUGACCCAGCAACGCCGCGUGAAGGAUGAAGUAUUUCGGUAUGUAAACUUCGAAAGAAUAGGAAGAAUAAAUGACGGUACUAUUUAUAAGGUCCGGCUAACUACGUGCCAGCAGCCGCGGUAAUACGUAGGGACCAAGCGUUGUUCGGAUUUACUGGGCGUAAAGGGCGCGUAGGCGGCAUGACAAGUCACUUGUGAAAUCUCUGGGCUUAACCCAGAACGGCCAAGUGAUACUGUCGCGCUAGAGUGCAGAAGGGGCAAUCGGAAUUCUUGGUGUAGCGGUGAAAUGCGUAGAUAUCAAGAGGAACACCUGAGGUGAAGACGGGUUGCUGGGCUGACACUGACGCUGAGGCGCGAAAGCCAGGGGAGCAAA
rnacentral:rRNA from 1 species